GCCGGUGUAGCUCAACGGUAGAGCCCUGGUUUUGUAAACCAGUUGUUGUAGGUUCGAUUCCUAUCGCCGGCUCCA
rnacentral:tRNA from 1 species